rnacentral:misc_RNA from 1 species
AGAAGUAGAUAAUAAGAUGAAAUAUCUAAUAUGCACCAAAUAUAUUAGCAAACAGCGAAGAAUGAAUUUAGAGGGAGAGAGAGUCUUACAUAUAAGGAUUGAAAGAAAAUGUUUAGUUAAAAAUCUUCAGCUUUCAUUACUUCCCUACAAAACCUUUCCUACACUUACCAACCUGAUGAUAUAAAGGAAAAACGUAUUUUUUAAAUUUAGACUAACCAAUUUGGCAUUUGCACUGUAGAUUUGGUCUCCCAACAUAUCUAAUUCUUUAAUUUAGACUAAUUCACAAGAUGAAAGCAAGCCAAUAAAAUUAGUUUAUAUUUGACAGUGAACUUCAUUAAAACUUCAACUAACUAUACUCUUGCCAAUUUCUACUUAUCACUUUAACUAUAUUUGCAGAAAAAUGAAAAUUGAAACUGCUGAGUUCUUAUCUAAACUU